rnacentral:rRNA from 1 species
UACGAAGGGGGCUAGCGUUGCUCGGAAUCACUGGGCGUAAAGCGCACGUAGGCGGAUUGUUAAGUCGGGGUGAAAUCCUGGAGCUCAACUCCAGAACUGCCUUCGAUACUGGCGAUCUCGAGUUCGGGAGAGGUGAGUGGAACUGCGAGUGUAGAGGUGAAAUUCGUAGAUAUUCGCAAGAACACCAGUGGCGAAGGCGGCUCACUGGCCCGAUACUGACGCUGAGGUGCGAAAGCGUGGGGAGCAAACAGG